CAACACCAUGAAAGGAAAGUAGGUUAGCACUCCCCUUGACAAGGAGAGAAGCGGACCUGCUGACCUGUAGCACACACCAACACACACAAUGGAUCCUAUUUU